rnacentral:rRNA from 1 species
UACGGAGGGAGCUAGCGUUGUUCGGAAUUACUGGGCGUAAAGCGCGCGUAGGCGGCUUUGUAAGUUAGAGGUGAAAGCCCGGAGCUCAACUCCGGAACUGCCUUUAAAACUGCAUCGCUUGAAUCCAGGAGAGGUGAGUGGAAUUCCGAGUGUAGAGGUGAAAUUCGUAGAUAUUAGGAAGAACACCGGUGGCGAAGGCGGCCCACUGGUCCGGUACUGACGCUGAGGUGCGAAAGCGUGGGGAGCAAACAGG